GACGAACGCUGGCGGCGUGCUUAACACAUGCAAGUCGAACGGAAGGCCCUGCUUUUGUGGGGUGCUCGAGUGGCGAACGGGUGAGUAACACGUGAGUAACCUGCCCUUGACUUUGGGAUAACUUCAGGAAACUGGGGCUAAUACCGGAUAGGAGCUCCUGCUGCAUGGUGGGGGUUGGAAAGUUUCGGCGGUUGGGGAUGGACUCGCGGCUUAUCAGCUUGUUGGUGGGGUAGUGGCUUACCAAGGCUUUGACGGGUAGCCGGCCUGAGAGGGUGACCGGCCACAUUGGGACUGAGAUACGGCCCAGACUCCUACGGGAGGCAGCAGUGGGGAAUAGUGCACAAUGGGCGGAAGCCUGAUGCAGCAACGCCGCGUGCGGGAUGACGGCCUUCGGGUUGUAAACCGCUUUCGCCUGUGACGAAGCGUGAGUGACGGUAAUGGGUAAAGAAGCACCGGCUAACUACGUG
rnacentral:rRNA from 1 species